UACAGAGGGUGCGAGCGUUGUCCGGAAUCACUGGGCGUAAAGGGCGCGUAGGCGGCCUGAUAAGUAGGGGGUGAAAUCUUGCGGCUCAACCGCAAGGCUGCCUUCUAAACUGUCAGGCUGGAGCACGGUAGAGGCAGAUGGAAUUCCCGGUGUAGCGGUGAAAUGCGUAGAUAUCGGGAAGAACACCGGUGGCGAAGGCGGCUUCCUGGCCCGCAACUGACGCUGAGGCGCGAAAGCUAGGGGAGCAAACAGG
rnacentral:rRNA from 1 species